rnacentral:snRNA from 1 species
GUGAGCACAUACCCUAACACUGGAACAAUACGAAGAAGAUUUGCAUGGCUUCUGUGCAAGGGUGUCAGACAAAUUUAUUUAUUUAUUUAU